AUUGAACGCUGGCGGCAGGCCUAACACAUGCAAGUCGAACGAGUGGCGGACGGGUGAGUAAUGUCUGGGAAACUGCCUGAUGGAGGGGGAUAACUACUGGAAACGGUAGCUAAUACCGCAUACCAUCAGAUGUGCCAAGAUGGGUUUGGCUUGUUGGUGGGGUAACGGCUCACAAAUGCGACGAUCCCUAGCCGGUCUGAGAGGAUGACCGGCCACUCUGGAACUGAGACACGGUCCAGACGCCUAGGGGAGGCAGCAGUGGGGAAUAUUGCAAAAUGAGCGCAAGCCUGAUGCAGCCAUGCGGCGUGUAUGAAGAAGUCCUUCGGGUUGUAAAGUACUUUCAGCGGGGAGGCGUUACCCGCAGAAGAAGCACCGGCUAACUCCGUGCCAGCAGCCGCGGUAAUAC
rnacentral:rRNA from 1 species